rfam:Eucalyptus grandis cultivar BRASTZ1 unplaced genomic scaffold scaffold_9, whole genome shotgun sequence.
AAGAUUAGAGACUUUCUGACUAGCCAAGGAGACUGCCUGAUACCGGGCCGAACUACUCGAACACUUAGUACAGCUCGAAUAGAGCAAGUUUGGAGCAGGCAAGUCAUUAGUACAGCUCGAAUAGAGCAAGUUCGGAGCAGGCAAGUCAUCCUUGGCUACCAAAUGAGACUCUUAUCU